CCUACGGGUGGCAGCAGUGGGGAAUAUUGCACAAUGGGGGAAACCCUGAUGCAGCGACGCCGCGUGAGUGAAGAAGUAUUUCGGUAUGUAAAGCUCUAUCAGCAGGAACGAGGCAAAACGGUACCUGACUAAGAAGCCCCGGCUAACUACGGGCAAGCAGCGGCGGUAAUACGUAGGGGGCAAGCGUUAUCCGGAAUCACUGGGUGUAAGGGGAGCGUAGACGGCUGUGCAAGCCUGAAGUGAAAGGCGGGGGCCCAACCCCCGGACUGCUUUGGGAACUGUACGGCUGGAGUGCAGGAGAGGUAAGUGGAAUUCCUAGUGUAGCGGUGAAAUGCGUAGAUAUUAGGAGGAACACCAGUGGCGAAGGCGGCUUACUGGACUGUAACUGACGUUGAGGCUCGAAAGCGUGGGGAGCAAACAGGAUUAGAUACCCGAGUAGUC
rnacentral:rRNA from 1 species